UCCGCCCGAGAACUUUGAGCACAAACGCUUAAAACUCUAAGGACUUGGCGGUGCCCUAAACCCACCUAGAGGAGCCUGUUCUGUAAUCGAUAAUCCACGAUCCACCCAACCACUUCUUGCCAAAACAGCCUACAUACCGCCGUCGCCAGCCCACCUCCAUGAGAGAGCAGCAGUGGACUCAACAGCCCCACACCAGCCCACUAACAAGACAGGUCAAGGUAUAGCCCACGAAGUGGAAGAAAUGGGCUACAUUUUCUAAGAUAGAACAACCCUCAACGGAAGGGGGCCUGAAACCUGCCCCCAAAAGGAGGAUUUAGCAGUAAAGUAGGACAAGAUCGCCUUCUUUAAGCUGGCCCUAGGGCA
rnacentral:rRNA from 1 species